rnacentral:lncRNA from 1 species
CGGUUCUUGGUCUAGAACCGAGAACCGAACCGUACCCGUCGAUUCUCAAUUCAGAUAUCCAUUCAGGUAUUUAAUUUGAUAAGAACCGUCGGGUUCGGUUCGGUCGGUUCGAUUCGAGAGAUUUGCCCGGCCCUAAAUUUGGGGGUGGAUGGGGAUUUUUGUAUUUUAUUUUUGGUUUUUAUUUUAAUUAUUUGUUAUGGAAUAAUAUAAAAUUAUCAUUUUAUCCUUUAAAAUUGUGGAAGAAAAUAAAAUUUUAUAGGUUUGGAAUUGCAGUUGGCACAUAUAAAAAAUUUGAAUAUAAUUUGUAAAAAAUAUAAAAAAAAAUUGGGAUCACAAUUGCAAUAAUUCCAUUUCAAUUUUGUCAAUUUUUGAUACUUUUAAUGGCUAAACUAAUGAAAUUAUACGGUAAGGGGGUGAAUCGCACUUCAAAUUUCAUAGAGGGGGAUUUUUCGCACAUCAAAGGUUGUAUUCCACACAAGGUCUCAAAUAGGGAUGUUUUCUACGAAUUCCAAUAAAAAUGGGGUAUAUCGUACAUCGUCAAAUGUGUACUGCUAUUGAUCCAAUUGAAAAUCAUCAUCGGCUUAAGAGGAAGCUCCAAAAAUUCUCUAGAAAAAUUGAUGAUGAUUCCUUGCUAAACUAAUUCCUUAUUCCUUAAGCAUUCCUAGAAGAAUCUGAGAAAUAUUUGAAAGGUUGCCCAUUGUCAUAAAUGAAACAAUCUAAAAAGUUUCUAGAAUUGUAAGGCACCAACAUACACUACUAAAUAUGUUUUAGCACUUCAUUUUGAGUCAUAGAGUGAAUUAAGAAGUGUGAAAGAGAGAAAAACAAAAAUACAGGCUGUAUGCAUGUGUGGUGAAAGAAAGACACAGCGAGAAGCAUCAUAUAUGAGUGCUUUGAGAGAGAGAGAGAGAGAGAGAGAGAGAGAGAGAGAGAGAGAGAGAGAGUGUGGAUAGAGAGUGGAAGUAACUUUAGUGCUUCCUUUAAUAAGAAUUGUGAGAGGUGUGUGGUUAAAUUGUAAAAGCA